rnacentral:rRNA from 1 species
UACGUAGGUGACGAGCGUUAUCCGGAUUUAUUGGGCGUAAAGCGCACGCAGGCGGCAGAGAAAGUCUGACGUGAAAUCUCCCGGCUUAACUGGGAGCGGAUCGUUGGAAACUACUUGGCUUGAGGCGAUGAGAGGGGUGUGGAAUUCCCGGGUGUAGUGGUGGAAUGCGUAGAUAUCGGGGGGAACAUCAGUGGCGAAAGCGGCACCCUGGCAUUAGCCUGACGCUCAUGUGCGAAAGCGUGGGGAGCGGAACGGGAUUAGAAGAC